UGGAGCCCAGCCUAUGGGACUGUCUAGGUGCAGGUUAACAGGCUGCAGUGUGCUGUGGAGAUUUUCUUCUCUCUCCUAGGAGUGGCAAGUUUCGUUUGUAACAAAUUAUGCUGGGUUAUGAGAAGACAGAGCUCAGUGAAGGCACUGGAGUGGAGCCUACUUCAGGAACCAAAUUGAAAGGAUUCACCCUGCUGAGCUGAUCUGGACCAGAGAGCCUGUGGGACUACAGGGCAUAUGGCAAAGGUGGCCCAAAGAUGAGCAUACAGAGAGAGGCAUUUAAAGUUGUUCCUUUCCUGUAGAACAGAGGGCCUGUCUCACAAGUUCAGUAACUUCAGGUCAUGGCAGGUAAAAGCGGAGGUACCUGAGCUGCCCAGGAUUUGUCUUAGCAGUCAGACAAUUGAGAACAAGGUGAAGGGAAAGAAAACCUAAAGAUUACACAUGCAAAUCAAGAAUAAUCAAAUUUGGGCUUUCUAAGGUGCACUGCAGUGUAUGUGAAACUUGUAGUCUGGAAAGUCAGGAAUAAAA